UACGUAAGGGGCAAGCGUUAUCCGGAAUUAUUGGGCGUAAAGCGUCCGCAGGUUGUAUGGUAGGUUUGGAGUUAAAUACCAGUGCUCAACAUUGGUGCUGCUUCAAAAACCCCCAUGCUAGAGGUCGGUAGAGGUAUGUGGAAUGAUGCAAGUAGGGGUAAAAUCCGUAGAUAUGCAUUGGAACACCAAAAGCGAAGGCAGCAUACUGGGCCGUACCUGACACUCAUGGACGAAAGCGUGGGGAGCAAACAGG
rnacentral:rRNA from 1 species